rnacentral:rRNA from 1 species
CCUACGGGUGGCAGCAGUGAGGAAUAUUGGUCAAUGGGCUUACGCCUGAACCAGCCAAGUCGCGUGAGGGAAGACUGCCCUAUGAGUUGUAAACCUCUUUUGUCAGGGAGCAACGCCGGCUACGUGUAGCCGGACUGAGAGUACCUGAAGAAAAAGCAUCAGCUAACUCCGUGCCAGCAGCCGCGGUAAUACGGAGGAUGCGAGCGUUAUCCGGAUUUAUUGGGGUUAAAGGGUGCGUAGGCGGAAUGCCAAGUCAGCGGUAAAAUCGCGGGGCUCAACCUCGCUCCGCUGUUGAAACUGGCGUUCUUGAGUGGGCGAGAGGUAUGCGGAAUGCGUGGUGUAGCGGUGAAAUGCGUAGAUAUCAGGAAGAACUCCGAUUGCGAAGGCAGCAUACCGG